rnacentral:rRNA from 1 species
CGGGUGGUACAUUUCAUCUAAGGCUAAAUAUUUGCAAGAGACCGAUAGCGAACAAGUACCGUGAGGGAAAGAUGAAAAGAACUUUGAAAAGAGAGUUAAAAAGUACGUGAAAUUGUUGAAAGGGAAACGAUUAAAGUCAGUCAUGCCGGCGAGAAAUCAGCCUCUUGAUAAAAUUAUUUGGUGCACUUUUUCGCAUGGCAGGUUAGCAUCAAUUUUAUAUAUUGUAAAAAGAUUGGUGGAAUGUGACUCUUUACAGAGUGUUAUAGCCAUCAGCCUAUGCUUUAUAUUUGAUUGAGGAUUGCAUCGAAUGCUUUGCGGCUAAGUUCCUACCCCCUAAUUGAUUAUCAUCUUGAUAACAGCAUGCUGAUAUUGGGAUCGAUAAACGAUUAAUCGGGAUAGAGAUACGAUAAAUUCGAUAAGGAUGCUGACGUAAUGGCUUUAAACGACCCGUCUUGAAACACGGACCAAGGAGUCUAACAUACAUGCGAGUGUUUGGGUGGUAUAAACCCAUUCGCGAAAUUAAAGUGAACUUUUGGUGAGACAUAUUUCAUAUAUGGCAUCAUUGACC